rnacentral:rRNA from 1 species
CAGUAGCCGCGGUAAUACGAAGGGGGCUAGCGUUGCUCGGAAUGACUGGGCGUAAAGGGCGCGUAGGCGGCGGCCAAAGUCAGGCGUGAAAUUCCCGGGCUCAACCUGGGGGCUGCGUUUGAUACUUGGUUGCUUGAGUGGGGAAGAGGGUCGUGGAAUUCCCAGUGUAGAGGUGAAAUUCGUAGAUAUUGGGAAGAACACCGGUGGCGAAGGCGGCGACCUGGUCCUUUACUGACGCUGAGGCGCGAAAGCGUGGGGAGCAAACAGGAUUAGAGACCCCUGUAGUCCCUGUCUCUUAUAC